ensembl:lncRNA
CGUCAAGCACAUGCAUGAAAACAAAUACAAAAAUGCCUGAUGUGUAGUCCCUUCAGCUGUGUAGUCGCCGGAAGCCCCACCUCCACCUGCUAUGAAAUACCCAGCUUACACCUGCAUUCACCGAUUUACCGCUUGGCAAAUGUCAUGUCUGCUUUAGCGUUUUUUCUUACAUUUCUUGGCAUGUCUCCACAUCCCCCACACUCAUCAGUGUGACUGUCCAUCUAGGUUUACCUAGAAAAAUCGCCACUUUCUGUCACUGCAUGUUGUUUAUCACUCCUGGGUCCCAGAAUUAGCCACAGAUCUCCCCUUGAGGGAGGCCUCUUGCUUGCAGACUUGGCUUCUCCCCUCUGCAAUUGUAAAGAUGAGAGGUUUGGCAGGGCCACAGCGCUUCGUGGGAGAUGUGAGCGCUCCUCUGUGGUUGACGCUUUGGAGCACACAUUCCCACCUACGACUCAUGUCCAGCCCCGAGUUUUAUGGAUGCCAAAAUGGUAUUAGAGUUCCUAAUGGAAAUGUGUGAUGGCAAGUCUGAUGAUGGAGAGAUAUCAGGACUGAGUGAUGUGUCCUGGGAUGACUCUUCAUCUGACAGUUCAUCUAACAAUGAUCAACCACCUCAGAAACAAGUGAGACGGACCGACCCUCCACUUCAAGACAGGUCAACGACAGCACUUCUAGAAGAACAAAUCUCAAACCCAGGCUCAGAGAGCGGUCCCAGUUCCACAGCAUCAACAAACUGCAAACAAGGCAGGAAGACUUAGAGAACAUCAAAGAGUACAUACAGGGGAGAAGCCUCACCACUGUACCCAAUGUGGGAGGAGUUUCAGCUGGGCAGGAAUUCUUAAGAUGUAUAGAAGAAUUUAUACAGGGGAGAAACCUUUCCAAUGCACUGUGUAAGAAGAGGUUUACAAGAGAAGUGGCUCUAAAGAUUCAUGAAAGAGUCCACACUGGAGAGAAACCCUUCUGCUGCUCCACGUGUGGCAAGUGUUUUAGUGGAAAAUUAAACCUUAAUAGACACGAGAGUCCAUAGUGGUGAGAAGCCUUAUUUCUGUACAAAUUGUGGAAAGUGCUUAAGUAAUUCAAGAACCCUUAAAACACCAGCGGAUACAUACAGGGGAGAAACAAUACCACUGUUCUCUGCAGGAAGAAUUUCCUUUUUGCCGGAGACCUACAGAAACAUCAGAGAUCACAUAGUAGGGAAAAGCCUUAUCGCUGCUUUGUGUGUCAGAAAAGUUUUACUCAGCUCCCAAUGUUGAAAUAAUUUCCUUGUGGAGGAAGAAACAUGAGAGAAUGCAUAUUCAAGUGAAACCUACCUUUACUUUGAAUGUGAUUAUUAAGGAGGAGGGAGAAGAGAGAGAAAUUAAGAAAGAGGAAACAUAAGCUAUCUAUAUAAAUGUGAAGGCCUCCUAUCGUUUCUUCCUUCCAGUUUGUUUCUGACGGGGGAGCACCAUUGAUGGCUAUCUCUAUUUUUAAGUAGGUCUCUUGUGACUCUGUUGCUGAUAUAGCAUGGCGAAUGUGAAGUUCUGGGUUCAAUUCCCAGGAUAAAAAAGUAUGCUUCAAACAAUGUAUGUCCCUCCGGACAAAAGAAACUGCCAAGUGACUUACCUGAAUGUAUAUUAUUUUACUUUCAAGACUGUAUUGCAAGUCUGUAAAUAAACUUCAUAGGUAAUACUGACUACCUUGAACAGUGAAGUGUGUAUAUUCUAAACAGGUAUAAUGUGAAGAGCCUGGAUGCAACACAAACUCAAGUUAUACAUUUAGCAUCUUCUGAAGGCUGAUUAACCUGCUUUCAGAUUGUCCAGGAUGAGUUCAACCUGCAGUUGUGGCAUGUUUUUGAGUCUAAAUCAUUGUCUGACACCUACUAGCUGCAAUUGAAAUUUGUUCUAUCAUUCCUUAACUUGCUUCCAAUGUUUCACCCAGUUGACUUCAAAGUACUAACUGUCUGCAAGAGUUUGCCAGAAGCCAUGUGGAUAACGCUGACACCGAAUGGACAAAGAUGCUGUGCUUUUUGGUUUCAAUGCUAACACCGCAUAUCAUCCUGAGAACACCAUCCCUACCAUGAAGCAUGGUGGUGGCAGCAUCAUACUAUGGGGAUGCUUCUUUCAUCAGGGCUUGUGAGGAAAACCUGAAGUCGUCAUGCUUCUUUCAUCAGGGCUUGUGAGGAAAACCUGAAGUCGUCAUGCUUCUUUCAUCAGGGCUUGUGAGGAAAACCUGAAGUCGUCAUUCAUCUUCCAUCAGGAUAAUGAUGCUAGAGUGGCUUAAAAACAAGAAAGUUCAAUGUGCUGGAGUGGCACAUUCAAAGCUCGGACCACUCUCCAAUUGACAGAAUGUGGAAAGAGUUAAAUAGCUGUUUACCAAAGGUCCCUUUCUAACUUGAUGGGCCUGAGCAAAUUUGCAGAGCUGGUAGAGACAUCUGAAUGAACUCAUGACUGUAAUCGCUGCCAAAGGUCCCUCAACCAAAUACUGACUGAAGGGUUUAAAUACUUGUACAAUCAAUUAAUUUUCUGUUUUGUAUUUGCAGUUCAUUUUGAACAGUUUUUCACUUUAUUUUCUUUG